ensembl:lncRNA
GUUGGAUGAAGAAUUCCUGAAGCAAUACUGCUGAGACAGCUGAAGUUACUCUGAGAACUGCCAUUAAGAUAAAAAUGCUCUGAAAAUGGAACCUGUCUAAAGCAGCCGGGACAAGUCUCUAUAAAAAAGGAAGAUAAAACAUGUUUUUGGGUUCUUUCUAAUUAUGUUGCAUUAUGGGAAAUGGCUAUGUUCCAUCCUUAUCUGGAGUGCUCUGUUAACACAUCUUCAGACACACCUGUAUUUGGAAGAUGGAGGGAGAGCAUCUCCAUAAACCAUGCGCUGGCAUUCAAGCAUUCUGCAGUGCACCUUCUCCAUUGCACAGUUCUGCUGACCCCACCUAUUUCAGUGCAGACCAUUUUCACAUCAUAAAAUUUCCAGAAACAGAAAGGUUGAUGAAAUCAUAUUAGGAAUGUCUUCUUCAGGGCCUGGAUUAUCAGCGGAGCAAAGCAAUGCAGCUCUGAGGGAACGACACUGAUUCAUACUGGCUAAGAGGCUGACCUCAAAGUCUAUGAAUAUAAAAACAUUUGACUCAGUAAUACACACUACAGGAAAGUGUGGAUCUUUAGAAGAUAGUGAAGAGAAAAAUGUAAGAGGCAAAGUGCUGCAGAGCAGUCCCUUUCUGACAAAGGCACCAGCUUCUCUUCUCUUCCUGAUCUCACCUACAUUUUCUAGGAACAGCUUGAUUUCCAUCCUUGUUUGUGGUGAAAGCAUUUCAACAGCAAAGUGUUAAAAACUUCAAGAGACCCGCUGCCAAAAUGAACAGGAAGAACUUUGUCUUGGAGGAUACAACUAUUCUCCCACGCAAAGUACAUGACUUAAUGAUUAAGCCUUUUUAUCAUAUCUGACAUUGUAUUUCUGAGUUAAAUGAAAGUACCAUAUACAAUUUAAAAUUUAAGAGUAUUCUCCCAUAACAAAGAAGUCAGAAACAAAAUACAGUCAAUUAGGCCACUGCUUUCUUAUUUUGCUUCCAGAGCACCUAUUACCUGGAGAUGAAGAAUUAACUCUAUUAAAAUAGCAGUGCUUGAAUGCCUGGAUAACUCAACUUGUCAGUCAAAAGAUCUUCUCUUCUUAGCAAAAAAUAAUUAGUAUAUUUCAAUUAAUUGGGUUAUAAUUAGACCCAUAAUAUACUCUGUAAACCAACCUGUUAAAAACAUCACGAGGUCCAGGAAACUAUAGAUUUCAAUUCAUUUUUUUUCUUUUUUUUUUUCAGAUAUUAUUAAUUUUUAUGCUCCAGUGUGUAAAGUGUAAAAUCAAAGAUGUAUUUUUGAAGUAUAACUCAAAAGCACAUGUAUCUUGUCAUUCCAUUUGGAAACAAAAUAUUUUUAGAAUAGGUAUGUUCCUCAGAAACUUUUGAUCUUGACAGAACAGCAUAUCUAUUAAAAAAUUUAUAGCCAGAACCAGUAUGUAUCUGCAUAGCCAGAAUACAAAUUCACUCAACUUUGCCUUUUGCUAUGUAUGUAGUUAUUUCUCCUUUCUGUAACAUAUGUUUAUGCCACUUUCUUUAAAUUUGCAAGUGUUACAUCCCAGUCCUGCCACUUGCUCUUUAUGGAUGGGUUAUUGCACCUAUGUAUCCUUUGAAGUCAUGCCUGUUUAAUAGAUUAGUCAAGCAUAUGUGAC